CCUACGGGCGGCAGCAGUGGGGGAUAUUGCACAAUGGGGGGAACCCUGAUGCAGCGACGCCGCGUGGGUGAAGGAGCGUUUCGGCGCGUAAAGCCCUAUCGGCAGGGAAGAAGAUGACGGUACCUGACCAAGAAGCCCCGGCUAACUACGUGCCAGCAGCCGCGGUAAUACGUAGGGGGCAAGCGUUAUCCGGAUUUACUGGGUGUAAAGGGGGCGCAGACGGCAAUGCAAGCCAGGAGUGAAAGCCCGGGGCCCAACCCCGGGACUGCUCUUGGAACUGCAUGGCUGGAGUACAGGAGGGGCAGGCGGAAUUCCUAGUGUAGCGGUGAAAUGCGUAGAUAUUAGGAGGAACACCGGUUGCGAAGGCAGCAUGCCGGCUUCCGACUGACGCUGAAGCACGAAAGCGUGGGGAUCGAACAGGAUUAGAUACCCUUGUAGUC
rnacentral:rRNA from 1 species